rnacentral:lncRNA from 1 species
CUUCUCUCUUCCUUCCUCCCCACCAGUUCAACUCGAGGGGCUCAUGACGCGUGGGCUAUAUACAACACGGUGGCCGAGGGAUGGGGGUGAACCAGCGGGCGAGCCGCCGCGCGGUUUCGCCAAGCGCACCGUUUGGCGGCGCGGUUCUGUCGUAGGUGUGUAUUUGCACGCAUGCAGACGCAGUCGUCCCGUUCCCGUUUGCUUUCUUCGAUUGGCAACAAUGAUGGUUGGGAAGGACGAAGCAGGAUUCAAGAAACAUGUUCC